rnacentral:rRNA from 1 species
CCAGAGGAAACUCUGGUGGAGGCUCGCAGCGGUUCUGACGUGCAAAUCGAUCGUCAAAUUUGGGCAUGGGGGCGAAAGACUAAUCGAACCAUUAACUACUACUAGGUGGUUAAGAGGCCCGGUCUAGAAGAUCGGGCCUAGUUGACAGCGCUUAUGGUGUUGUUAGCGACACUGUCAAACUGCCGGGGACUGCCUGAUCGAGGCUUAAGCUACCGCUGGCCCGUCGAAAGACGGGUCUAGCACCGGGUCUAACGAGCCUGGGUAUGGUAAAAACGCUUAAGUUAGGGCAUAUCCGCAGCCAACUCCUCUUGUCCGUCGUCGGACAGUGGAGGCAGUUCACAGACUAAAUGGCAGUGGGUCUGGCAAGUUGCCGGGCUUAAGAUAUAGUCGAUGGCGCCUAAGAAAUUAGGGCCGCGGUAAGCUAGUAGCUGGUUACCGCCGAAGUUUCCCUCAGGAUAGCAGUGUUGUCUUCAGUUUUAUGAGGUAAAGCGAAUGAUUAGGGACUCGGGGGCGCUAUUUAGCCUUCAUCCAUUCUCAAACUUUAAAUAUGUAAGAAGCCCUUGUUGCUUAGUUGAACGUGGGCAUUCGAAUGUACCAACACUAGUGGGCCAUUUUUGGUAAGCAGAACUGGCGAUGCGGGAUGAACCGAACGCGGAGUUAAGGUGCCAGAGUGGACGCUCAUCAGACACCACAAAAGGCGUUGAUACAUCUUGACAGCAGGACGGUGGCCAUGGAAGUCGGAAUCCGCUAAGGACUGUGUAACAACUCACCUGCCGAAUGUAUCAGCCCUGAAAAUGGAUGGCGCUCAAGCGUCCCACCCAUACUCCGCCCUCAGGGUAGAAACGACGCCCUGAGGAGUAGGCGGCCGUGGGGAUGGUGACGAAGC